rnacentral:rRNA from 1 species
AUGCACGCUGGCGGCGUGCCUAAUACCUGCCAGUCGAGCGAACGGACGAGAAGCUUGCUUCUCUGAUGUUAGCGGCGGACGGGUGAGUAACACGUGGAUAACCUACCUAUAAGACUGGGAUAACUUCGGGAAACCGGAGCUAAUACCGGAUAAUAUUUUGAACCGCAUGGUUCAAAAGUGAAAGACGGUCUUGCUGUCACUUAUAGAUGGAUCCGCGCUGCAUUAGCUAGUUGGUAAGGUAACGGCUUACCAAGGCAACGAUGCAUAGCCGACCUGAGAGGGUGAUCGGCCACACUGGAACUGAGACACGGUCCAGACUCCUACGGGAGGCAGCAGUAGGGAAUCUUCCGCAAUGGGCGAAAGCCUGACGGAGCAACGCCGCGUGAGUGAUGAAGGUCUUCGGAUCGUAAAACUCUGUUAUUAGGGAAGAACAUAUGUGUAAGUAACUGUGCACAUCUUGACGGUACCUAAUCAGAAAGCCACGGCUAACUACGUG